rnacentral:rRNA from 1 species
CCUACGGGUGGCAGCAGUGAGGAAUAUUGGUCAAUGGCCGGAAGGCUGAACCAGCCAUGCCGCGUGAAGGUCAGUGCCCUAUGGGUUGUAAACUUCUUUUAUAAAGGAAUAAAACGAGGCACGUGUGCCUUUUUGCAUGUACUUUAUGAAUAAGGGUCGGCUAACUCCGUGCCAGCAGCCGCGGUAAUACGGAGGAUCCGAGCGUUAUCCGGAUUUAUUGGGUUUAAAGGGAGCGUAGAUGGGUUGUUAAGUCAGUUGUGAAAGUUUGCGGCUCAACCGUAAAAUUGCAAUUGAUACUGGCAGUCUUGAGUACAGUUGAGGUAGGCGGAAUUCGUGGUGUAGCGGUGAAAUGCUUAGAUAUCACGAAGAACCCCGAUUGCGAAGGCAGCUUACUAAACUGUGACUGACAUUGAUGCUCGAAAGUGUGGGUAUCAAACAGGAUUAGAUACCCCGGUAGUC